AUGACUGUCACCUGCACAGAAAAUCAUCUGACAAUGUUUCCAGGUGUUCACGCAGAAGCACAGCUCAUAGAGUCUGGAGGAGGCUUGGUGCAGCCUGGGGAGUCCCUUAGACUGUCCUGCGUGGCCUCGGGAUUAACCUUAAGCAAUUACUGGACAGACUGGGUCCGCCAGGCUCCCGGGAAAGGGCUGGAGUGGAUCUCAGCUAUCAGUAACAGUGGUAGCACAUAUUUCGCUGACUCCGUGAAGGGCCGAUUCACCAUCUCUAGGGACAAUGUCAAGAAUACGCUGUAUCUGCAGAUGAGCAGCCUGAGACCCCAGGACACGGCCGUGUACUAUUGUUCAACUGACACAAUGAGAGAAACCUCAGUGGGAGUCAGUCAUAAACUUCCGUGCAGGGGCGCUGAGGACCAGCAGGUGUCGCUCUAG